rnacentral:rRNA from 1 species
AUUGAACGCUGGCGGCAGGCCUAACACAUGCAAGUCGAACGAGUGGCGGACGGGUGAGUAAUGUAUGGGAAAAUGCCUGAUGGAGGGGGAUAACUACUGGAAACGGUAGCUAAUACCGCAUACCAGCGGAUGGGCCCAGAUGGGAUUAGCUAGUAGGUGGGGUAAAGGCUCACCUAGGCGAAGAUCCCUAGCUGGUCUGAGAGGAGGACCAGCCACACUGGAACUGAGACACGGUCCAGACUCCUACGGGAGGCAGCAGUGGGGAAUAUUGCACAAUGGGCGAAAGCCUGAUGCAGCCAUGCCGCGUGUAUGAAGAAGGCCUUCGGGUUGUAAAGUACUUUCAGCGGGGAGGCGUUACCCGCAGAAGAAGCACCGGCUAACUCCGUGCCAGCAGCCGCGGUAAUUC